rnacentral:lncRNA from 1 species
CUGGUGAUGAGGCGGUAGUGUAUUGUUGUGAAAUGAAUACCACUCAACAGGGUGACUCAUUGUUUGCUGUGUUUUCAAUAAGCACUGGAGACCAACAUGCGCCUGGCACCUGGCCUUCAGUGGGUUCGUGACAACAUAGCGGCCUUUAGCGGAGACCCAAAUUCAGUCACUAUCUCCGGACAAUCUGCAGGUGGCAUCAGUGUCUCUAUGUUGUUUAAGGCAUUUUUGGGUCCAGCUAUUGACGGAGUGUUCCUGAAAGGCCCACCUGAAGACGUUUAAAGGACAAAGAAUUCCAGAAAGUUCCUAAGCUGAUCGGAGUGACCACUCAUGAGUUUGGAUGGAUGCUCCCACAGCUCCUCGGACCUACUGGAUGGGAUCAAGGUAUGAAGAGGGAAGAUGUGAUAUCAGUGAUGAACAUGUUCUUCCCCUCCCGUGUCUCCAAAUGGUGGAUUACGACCACGACGAAAACUACCUGAAGCUGAACCUGAAGCUGAACCUGCAGCAGAGCCGUCGGCCGAGGACUGAAACGGAACAGAGCUCACUUCCUUGAUGUUGUGCUGCUUGAUAAACUAAAGUCUCACAAUGCUACUGAUGAACUGUGAUCGGAGACGUCCACAAAGGGCGAGGAGGUCGUUGAAUUUCACGAUUUGUUAUCAAGUGUGCAACGUCUUUGCAACUGGAUGUAGUUAUGGUUAAUCUGGCGGACCUCCCAGUUCGGACUUGUAGCUCGAUCUGUGCAGGUGCAUUCAGGUACAGGCCGCGGUGUCCGAGUCGCCUGGAAAAAUAGAGACGCUGAAUUUAAGUCUUUAGGCCUUUAAUUCCAUAUUUACUGUAGUGAACAUGGCAGAAAACUAGAUUAUCAACUCCAGACGGUGUGUUGUACCUGAGAUUUGAGGGCAUGUAGCUCACUGUGAACUUUUCUAAACUUCAUCUCUAGUUCCAGGUAUUUGCUUUUAAGCUUCUCCCUGUCCUUGCGCUCAGUCAAGAAGUCUUCCUUGUAGACUUCUGCCUGAAAAUGGACAGAAAAGGAAACAUGAUAUCAGCAUUCAUACCACUCUCAUGCUACGUAUGAUGGAUAGCUUAGCUUAGCAAAAAAAAAACUCAAAACAGAUGGAAACAGCUAGCCUGGCUCUGUCCAAAUGUUAAACAUAAUAUUAGAACAUCUGGACCACCUCCACUGUUAUAUUAUUAUUGGACUGUGGACAGAGCCAGGCUAGCUGUUUCCCCUGGUUUCCAGUCUUUAUGCUAAGCUAAGCUAACCGCCCGUAGCUUCAUAUUCUGGGAGUGGUAUUUCUCACCUAGCUAAAUUAAAAGCCAAUAAGUGUAUGUAUAAAAAUGCAGAUAUAUGAUGAUGAACAAAGCUCACCUGCUGUUCCCAGACAUCGAGAGGUUGAGUAGUCUGACUUGCCUCCUUUAAAGCCUGUACGAACAUAUUAAAAGCAACUAUGACACCACUGUUGUUGCAGGGAACAAACACUGAAAACUCUUCACUUUGAUAGGUUACAUUCCAGGACUCACCUUGUUCAAUCUUCUGAUCUCCUCUUCCUGAUGAUGCAAUCUUCGGGUCUGAGUGUCGUUUUGUGCUCGCAGCUCCGUCGCCUUCUUUUCUGCUUUUAGUAACUCCUCCACAAUCUGUGAGAAAUUUCCCCACGAGGAUGGAAUUAUUAUUCACAUUUUUACAGAUUGUAUCGUUAAAAAACGCCUUAUAUUUAAACCAGGAAUUACAAUACAUGCUCUCAUUUACCCAUGUGUUCUCUUCUUCUGUGACUUUCUCGUUUAACGUGACGUUCUUUUCUCCUUCUCCACACUUCUCCGCUGCCGAGUGAUCGCCUUGCAGUAAUGCUUGUAAGUCUUGGACCUGACACGAAACACAAGGCAUGAAAGCACUGACGAGACAUAGAAUUAAACAAGCUGUCAAGUGCGGAAUCAAACAAGGGCCGUGAACUUACCUUCUCUUUCAUGGCGUAGUACUCUAUAGCCCAUUUCUCAUUAAUACAGAGAAGCUGAGUAAAGGAGAAAGAGCAUGAGAGUUUUGAGUACUUAAAAAAGGUACAUGUGUGUUUUAGUGUGUAUAUGAAUCAAACUUCUGCUAAAUUAACUCACCUCGUGCAUUUUCCUCUCCAAGAUAAGUAUCUGGGCUUUCAUUCUGAUGUCACUGCCGGCAGCCGACGCUCCUGACUGAAGAAAUAAAAGAGGAACUCUUCAUAUGUGGCUCACGGUUUGCCCAUCCGUGACUGCACGGGCAAUUAUGCAAUAUGACCCGUAUCCCCGAACUUCCUUUUACACAUUUUUGGAAGUUUUGCUUUAGAGUGUUUCCAGUAACACAAAGAACAUGUUAAUUUCUUCGCGGUCAGGGAAUCAGAUGGUGACAGCGUGAUUAUUAUCCUCUCAGACGUACCUUCCAACGUUGCAUCUGUUAUUAUUACCUGAGUGUCUCUGCGCAGGCUGUUGGGAUGAUACCCUGCAGCUGUGUGAAGCUUUUCUCCAGUGGAGUGGUCCGCCACACCAACCUCGUCUCUGUAAACAUUUGAUCACAUAGACAAAAAAUUAGCGUUAUUUUGCCUUUUAUUUAUAGCAUCAAGCCAGCAGAUGUAACUAAGUACAUUUACUUGAGUUAUUCCAUUUUAUGCUUCCUUACACUGCAACUCCACUACAUUUCAGAGGCAAAUAUUGUACUUCACUACAUUUAUUUAACACAUUUAAAAAAAAACAUAUACUUAUAUGACAUGAUGCAGCACUACCAAUCUACCCACUAGUGCACACUAUACCUAAACUUGGCUCCACAGUGCUGAACUGCAACAUUAAAAUGCUCUUACAUGGACUUGUUAAUGAUAAAAAACAGAAUAUAAUAUUCUAUAAUAAUAUAACAGCAGCCAUUAUGCUAAGUGAGUACUUUUACUUAUGAUACUUUAAGUACAUUUUGCUGGUGAUACUUUUCUACUUUUACUUAACUAACAUUCUAAAUACAGGACUUUUAUUUGUGAAGUAUUUUGAGACUAGUAUUUAAAAUUCAAGUAGUAAUAUAUUAUCUACCUGUACUUUCGUAGUGAUGGAUACAGUCUGUGUGUCUGUCUGCUGUGUGUAGUCUGAGAUCUCUCCACAGGUGAGCUGUCCAUUGUGUUUUCAUGUAGUGACUGUCAAAGCAAAAAGGAGGACAUACAUUAUACAUAACAGCCAUUUUUAUAUCCCUACAUCUAACAUUCAUAUGUUAUGAAUUGACGAAAGAAAGAUCUGCCUCCGGGGGAUCUUAUGCUUUAUUAAUAUUUAUUUAUGUUUUUAUCCAAAUUGUUUCUUUUAUGUUUUUAAUAUAUAUAUCUGACUGACGUUGUUUCCCUAUAACACUUUGUUUUUCUUUACUUCAAUUGUAUUGAAAAAAGAUUAAUUUGAAUUCAUCAAUAAAUAUGUAAUAUAUAAACAAAAAAGCAUAAUCCCCCCAAUUUUUAAUAUAUAUAUUAUAUAUAUAUAAUAUAUAUAUUAUAUAUACAUUAUAUAUAUAUAUAUAUAAUAUAUAUUAUAUAUAUAUAUAUAUAUAUAUAUAUAGAA